rnacentral:rRNA from 1 species
CAGCCGCCGCGGGAAUACAGAGGGUGCGAGCGUUAAUCGGAUUUACUUGGCGUAAAUCGUGCGUAGGCGGCUUUUUAAGUCGGAUGUGAAAUCCCUGAGCUUAACUUAGGAAUUGCAUUCGAUACUGGGAAGCUAGAGUAUGGGAGAGGAUGGUAGAAUUCCAGGUGUAGCGGUGAAAUGCGUAGAGAUCUGGAGGAAUACCGAUGGCGAAGGCAGCCAUCUGGCCUAAUACUGACGCUGAGGUACGAAAGCAUGGGGAGCAAACAGGAUUAGAUACCCCUGUAGUCCCUGUCUCUUAUAA